rnacentral:snRNA from 1 species
AUACUCUGGUUUCUCUUCAGAUAGUAUAAAUCUUUCGCCUUUUACUAAAGAUUUCUGUGGAGAGGAACAACUCUGAGUCUUAAGCCAAUUUUUUAAGGAAGGCCUUGCUUUUUGCGAGGUU